GACCAGACGAGCCAGUGGAGUAAUUGAAUCAAACGCGCGCAGACUGUUCGACAUAUCGUUGAUGACGAUGAUCUUUGCUGUUUGGCAUUGCUGACGUAAACAUUUCCUUUGAAAUAUGUCGUAGGUGGCGGCAGAGGUAGCAACAAUAGAUUCAGUGGUUAUCUUUCUCCCUGGUUCUCUCUUAGGCGAGCGCAUUGGUCCGCUGAUCGUCAUUGAUCCACUGUGCUGUGCCGUGCUGUGAUUUUCGUGCUGCGGGAUGAUCAGGUGUAACUCAGAUGCCAUGUGCUGUCGUGGUCUGCUGCUCCUGCUGCGUGAGUCGACAUCUGCGAAAGCUGCCACUGUUGCCGUCGUUAUUGUGCAUGUGGCAGCGUUCCGCUGCUGCCGUUCGCUCCAGUUGUGGUGGUAGAACCAGCAGCAGCAGCAACGGCGGCAGCGACGGACGCAGCGAAACCGUAACAGCGGGAGCGAAACAAGAACGACCGUCACCAUUCUGGCAGCAGCGGGUCCGCAGCAUUAGCAGCACCCGUACCGCCGUUGCUGCCAUAAGCUGUGACUAUCUGGCAGGCGCUUAGAUAGUGGGUCCAUUGCCUUUGGCAGCAUUGUCGUCAUCGUCGUCGUUGGGGGUCCUGCUGCCGAGAAGCCUGUCGUCGUGAGGUUGUGUUUUUGUUGUUGUUGCUGUGCGUAAAUAGAUCGUAACUCUACGACCAUGGUGAAAUAAGAUAAUCAAACGAGUUGAGAUGAAUCGAGAAGAAUUAUCUGUGCGACGGGCGAUUGUUGGUGAUGACUGUGGUUGUGAUAGAGGAUUGCCGAUCCGGAUCAGGAAUAAGAGUAGAAGCAAAGGCGAUGGUAGAGAGCUGUGAGAAUGUGCGAGCCAGUCAAUCUUGUCUCCGUCUCUAAUGCCUAACUGACUGCCUACGAAUCACUACUAUUGCUCAUCGCACUACACUAUGUUGUACAUUAUAGAAUACAAUACUGCCUUCUUGCAAUGUUAUUUUAGUCGAGUCCGUACUGCUGCUAUUGUAGCUGGUACUGGAGUGUUGUAACGAGCACUCUAUCAAACAUCGCUUUGCUAAUGUAUCGCUCGGGGUUUGUCUCACUGCGUGCGAGUUGUUGGUCGUCGAUCUAAUGCAGAGCUGCUGCAGGUGCCCCUCUGUACUGAUGUUACUGUUUGCUGACUGGGCAGGUGCAGGAUGAAAAAAACGAACGACGGCGUGAAGGUCUCAACUCUCUUCCUUUGCCUGUCCGUGCAGCCCUAAUUAUUUGCCCCCUCUAUGCUAAAUGUGUCGAUGCCGCAUGAUCCGUCCGAAUGACACGAAUGCCGCACGUUAGUAGUGAAAUUACUUCAGCCUCAAGGCAGAUGCAGUAAUCAGUCUAUUGUUUGCGUGUUUGCGCCGCUUUGACUGACUCAUAAAAAAGACCAUUGUUACUUAAAGCCCACUUUAUGGUAAGGUGAUCAUCACCGAACGUAAGACACAAGCAGACAACCAAUUUCGUCUUCGUUGCAGCACUAGCAAUUACGAAGUUGAUACUUGAUUUGCACACCAUUUCACACGAAGUGCGCACAAAAUCAGCGUGUGCGUGUACCUUGCCCUUCACUCACGAAGGAGUUCCCAUUUUAGCGCGACUUAGUUGGCAUCAGAUCGCGCCGGUGGCAUCAAGGUGGCCGGCACUGUGGGAUUGGCAGGCCGUGGAAAACGAAAGAUUGUCAGGAGACGCCGACAGGUGUCUGCGUAGUGCUUUCAUUGGCGUUACCGUUGCCAGCAGUCCCGGCGGCGGCGUGGGUCAAAGCGGUUGCGGAGGUAUGGCGUCGAGCUCCGGAGGGCGCCCGCUUGGAAAGGAUCACCGGCGGGUUAGCAAUGCCACGACAUCGUCAUACGACAACUCGUCGUCGGAUGAGACUGAAAACGACUCAAGGCAACGGCGAACUAUCUUCAAGCAGCGGGGCGGCGGCGGACCUGGUGGUUACGUGCAUGGUCAGCCGAAGCUGAAGCCGUGCUUAAGAAACGAAGGCAGCCGAAGUGACGAAGGUGGAGCGAGCUCAGCUGGGGAGCAACGCCAUAACAGUCACCAUCACCACAACCAUAGUCAUCACCAUCAGAAUCAUCCAUUGGACGGGAGUAACGGCAUCAGUCAUUCGCAGCAUCAGCAGCUGCAGUCGUCCCAGCAACAGCAGGCAGCUCAGCACCAGGCACAGCAACAAUCUCAACAGCAGCAGCUCCAGGCUCAACACCAGGUCCAACAGCAGGUCCAGCAACAAAGCGCGCAACAACAACAGCAACAACAUUGCGGUGGGGUACCCCCUCAACAGCAGCAACAGGCUCAACAGCUGUUGGCGAUGGCAAACGCAGCUAAUCAGGGAGGAGGCGUAGGGGGUGGCCACCCCGGAAGUGGAGGGCAAAUGAUGAUUCGAGCCAAAUGCUAUACGCUGAGCGCUAUUGGAACUAUAGGUAAUGUCGGCGGGGCGAUGAAUUCCUCGCGACUAGGAAGCAACCGAAGCGGACCUGGUCUUAUGAGUUCCUCGAGCUCGAGUACCGAAAGCAGUCAUGCGAGUCCGCAGGGCGGGCCUAAACAAUCUGGCGAUGGACCUACAGUAGGAAACACGCAUGGAAGCAGCAAUACACAUAUUACAACAAGCAGUACUGCGUCAUCGUCGGAGCAACGCUUAACUCUAGUCGUCGAUAAUACGCGAUUCAUCGUCGAUCCUGCCCUAUUCACACAGCAUCCGGACACGAUGCUUGGUCGAAUGUUUGGCUCAUCUCUGGAAAACAACUUCACGAGGCCGAAUGAACACGGUGAAUAUGAGCUCUGCGAAGGUAUCUCGGCGGCGGUGUUCCGAGCCAUUAUUGACUAUUACCAUUCAGGCCAGAUUCAAUGUCCACCAUCAGUGACGGUGCCGGAACUUCGCGAAGCGUGCGAUUACUUCCUCGUGCCAUUCGACGCUUCGACGGUAAAAUGUCAUAACCUUAGGGGCCUGCUGCACGAACUCUCAAACGAAGGUGCUCGACACGAAUUCGAACGCUUUUUAGAGGAGCUCAUUUUACCGGCAAUGGUGGCUUCGGCACAACGGGGUGAUCGUGAGUGUCAUAUCGUUGUGUUGCUCGAAGACGACGUCGUAGACUGGGAUGAAGAGCACCCCCCGCAGACCGGCGAGGAAUACAGUCAGAUUGUGCACUCAACGACGCUGUACCGAUUCUUUAAGUAUAUCGAAAACCGGGAUGUUGCCAAAUUGGUGCUCAAGGAACGUGGUCUCAAAAAGAUCCGUCUGGGUAUCGAGGGAUAUCCCACCUACAAGGAGAAGAUCAAGCGACGUCCAGGCGGCCGGGCGGAGGUCAUCUAUAACUAUGUGCAACGACCUUUUAUCCGUAUGUCAUGGGAAAAAGAAGAGGCGAAAUCCCGGCAUGUCGACUUCCAGUGCGUGCGUUCGAAGUCUAUCACCAACCUCGACACGAUUGUCGCUGACGGUCGUUUGGAAGGUCCACUAGGGGGAGCCGGUGUCCUUCAGAAUGGUGCAGGUGGAGCCGCGGCUGGCGCCGCUGCUGCAAGUGGCGCUGCAUCUAGUGUUCAGGGUGCGGCGCCUCCUGUGCGGCAAGUAGCUGUUGAUGGACUCCUACCACCUGCAUUGGCAGGGCUUGCCAAUGAACCAGGUGCCCUAGCUGGUGGCUUUCAAGGUCUUCUGCUAGGCAAUGCAGGCGCAGCCGCAGAGGAAAAUGGAGCCGUAGGUGGGGCCGUAGGUGGGGCACCGCCAUUGCGCAGGCGCGAAGCUUAUCCAUAUGGUCCACAUGGAGCAGCCGCAGCAGCUGUAGUAGCGGUUGGCGGCAACGGUUCAUUGAAUGCCCUCGGGGCUUUAUCUGCUCAAGAUCAGGCCGCAGGUGGUGUCCUGGGCAGCAAUAACAACGCCCACGACGAAUCCUCGCCACCGCCACCUCCGACUCAAUAAUAAGCCAACAGACUAGCACUGUCUGAAAUGUCCCGCUAACUACGAGAAAUUAGUGUAUCAGAAAAACAAAUAGUCACUUAAGUAGAAGUAGCAUAUAGGGCGUGAGAGAUACCAUUCAACAAAGCAGAACCUAUCGAAUAGGGAAGAGUGAUUAUUAGAAAUAAUUGCGGCGAUGAUCUUAAGCAGGCUGAGAAGAACUUAAGCUUUUGGACCAAGCUAAACAUACUUUUCAUUUUAAUUCAUAUGGUGCACAUCUGCAGUUAUAGACUUCGCUUCUCAAUCUUCUCCGGCUUCCGACCGCCAAAAAUGGGUCACGCAACCACAUGUGCGUCAUUAUUAAUACAAUUCGUACAUGACGAUUAUGGGAACAGAUCAGUGUCGAGGUGACAAAACAGGAGACGCGUUAGUGGGCUGGAUAAGAACAGUCUGGUAAGAUGACUUUAUAGUUUUUAGGCCGACUUCAAAGCAUCUGAUGACGAAGCACGUCAAAUAAUCAGCCGAAACGGCCGCAGUCAAUAACUCCUCUACUAUUAUUGAUGACCUAAAAUAGAUAUGAUGAUCCAUUAUAAAGGUACAGAAAAAUCUCUCGAUGCAUAUGUUAUGUGUAUUAUCUAGCGGUACAAGUGCGGAAGACAUGUAGGAGAUAUGUGUGCGUAAAGCGAUAGAAAUGAUAGUAGUCGUGACCCAACAAAAGUGAUAUUAAUACCAGUAAAAGGUCGAAUGGAAGAAAGGAGCGCAUAGAAACAGAUGCGGAGAGCGCCGAGAACGAGUCGCUGACGACUUUACGGCUCGGGACUAGACGGAGCGAUUUGCUCCUUCUGCGUCGUUUACGUAUUCAUAUGUAGGUACAUUUAGACAUUACGCAAGUGAUAUCGAUAAUAAUUCUCGAAUUAUUUUCCUUUCAUAGAAAGCAAGAAAGGGAGACUACGAUGAAGAUCAAUUUGUUUAUUACCAUAAGCGAUCGCACAUGAAACAGAUCACUAUAAUGACGAUAUUAUAGUUAUUCAAGAUUAUAUUAUGACGACUAUCGCCAUAGUGGGAAACAAAGCAAAAUUGUAAACAUUUCAUUGAGACUAAGAUAACAGUCAUCAGCAAAAAGAAAAUGUUGAAUGAGCUGGAAAGAGGUAAAACAGAUUGAAAGAUCGGAAGCGAAGAUGAUGUGCAAUCGGCGUCGCUGUCAAGUUCUUCCUGAAGCCAUAACCGACCCAUGUCAAUUACGUGAAAGGUGCGUUCCUUCUCGUUUGUAAAUAUUCUAUAAGAAAAGUGGGACACAUCUGCUGUAGGAGCGAACAAAACCGCUUUCGGUCGCACGCAUGACACAUGGACGACGAAUCUUUCGCUGGCCACAUCAACAAGCACCGCCACGAACUGGGUGCCCUAGCGCUACGAUGACGAAAACACAAAGGAAGACAGCAGUAUCAGACCACAAGAGAUCUAGGGAUGGCUAAUAAGAAACUGCCACAAUGCCUUAGGGCAAAAGUUAAUAGUGUCUUAUAGAAGAAAUUUAUCUUUGGCUGGCAGACUCAUUGGAAAAAAUCAACGCCUGUCACAAGUUCAAUGUAAUCAUAGUUCUGAUUUUUCUUUCGUCACAAAGAAGUAAAUCGCAUCAAUAUUAGUACCGCUGUUGAGACUGAUAUGUCGUCAUGUUUGUUCUCUCUGAUGUAUCUUAAUCAUCGUAACAUAAGCACGAGUGAAUCAGUCGUAGUUGAAGGUUGGACCAUACAUAUUUCAAUGAACUGCUUUUAUUAUUACCAUGUCGUGAGACCUGGCGAUUACACUCUUCAUAAUCGUAACAGGACCAACUUAAGUUGUAAUGGUUAUAGAUAAUGAAACAAUAUGGCUGUUGUUAGUUGGGCGUUCAGCCUACUGAGCGGCCCUGAUGUUCCUUCGUAGGUGGAAGUGUAAAGAGACAAACAAAACUUUUACACGGAAACAUUUGCAUGGCACAAAUGAACUUAAGGCAAGAGCUUGACGAUUGUUUAGCUGCCAUCAAAGCCAGGAUCGAACGGAGCACUUCAACUAACUUCUUCAUGGUGGACGUGGAAUGUAAAAUCAACCGUCGUAAUAUAUAUCUAUGUAUGUAUGCUCUAAGUGUAACUAUACGUAACAGCGAUUGCCGAAAGUGAUUAUGACUAUGUGGAAAAAAGCUAGUCUCAUUCUGGAAGAAACUGCCUUUUAGUUCGGUAGCACAUUCACUAUCAAUAGCAACAAUGUGCGUGAGACCUCGUCCAUAGUAUUGAUUGAAACGUCGAGGCCAAGAACGGCUGAUCUUUGAGCGUCGGUAUAUAGAGGAAGCGAUUUAUUGGGUAUUCUACACGCGGCUUCCUAUAUGCAUAUAUGGAUGGUAAAAAUAAAUGGCACAGUGAAGUUGGGUAACAUAAAUAACGAGACUACCACAGUACAGUAUCAUAUGCGCAACGAGAUGACAGUCACCCACACCUCGUUUCUACUAAUCUGCCUCCGAUUAAUUCAUUAUGAUCAUCUCACCAUGGAUUUAGAUCGUCUUUAGCGGUCGAGUGACUUAAGAAGCACCUAUAAGUUUUGAUAAACAGAACGAAACGGAUCGCCGCAGGUGACAAACAUCUAUCUAUCUAUUAACACAAAGGAUGAAGUGAAAAAAGCGCAGAAAUAGUAUUGAAAAUGUAAGUAAAGCACAUUACGUAUAUACUAAUAAAUUACACCGGGCAACCGCUCAGUUGUAGGGGCGGCCGAAAAUUGCAUUCACCGAAAUAAAUAAAAGGUGCUUUUGUAUCACGUGAGCAAGAAGAGCAAAAGAGAGGAAAUCAGAUGUGGUAACUUAUGCGUAAGUACAGGAACGUCUCGUAUAGAUGAAAACACAGACAAAUAAGUUGCGUCAACCAAUAAAUAAACAUCCAGUUAAUUAAGAAAGAGAAUCAAGUUCUUAUCGCGUUUUAUAACUUCGACGCUCAUCAACUGAUGACUUCCUGCUAAACCGCGAGACUGAGAUUCAGAAACGCUGCAGCGUCAUAGCUGAUUCGUGCCGCGAGGAUGUCAAAAGAUAUACAACAAAGAGACUAGUGAACGAUAGAAGCUUCCGAAAAGGAGCAAAGACCAAUGAUUUACUUCUUUUAAAAGCGUAACAAUAUAAUUUUUAUUUCUUUUAAAGCAUGACACCUCAAAUAAUCAAUUGGCAUGAUAUGUGGCACCAUGCGCAAAAAGAGAGAGUGGACAAUUAUUCAAAAUAUGUCACUCAAAAUAGAUAAUAACGAUUUCCUUCUGCAAGAUGGUAUAUUGACGAAAUCAUUAUUUCUUGUUAGUGCAAUGCACAGUAUCACGGGAUAUCAAUUGCUAUUAAAUGCAAAAGGAAAAGAACUUCCAGCCUCAAGAAGAUCUUAGUCAGAUGAGGUAUUACUGUUAACAUCAAACUUAAUCCACAUGUAAAAGAUUUGCUCAGAGUUGAAGUGGAAGCUGCUGCGGUAAGUUCGUUGCUUGCCUGUGGCACGCUGGUAUGGCGCAUCAACCCAUCAUGCUGCUAGGUAAUAACAUGGGAAAAUGAAAACUGCCAAAAUAAAAUAACGACAGGAAGAAGUGGAACCCAAAAGGGUGGAGUAGUAAGUGAGAAAAACUAACACACGUGUUACAGACCUGUGCGCUCUGAACGAUGAUAUUGCUUAAAAAAUAAAGGUAACAAUUUUCGAAACGAAGCAAAGAGACGCAUAAUAAAUACAGGAGAGUCGAGAUAACUUAUCGGAGAAUGGAGCGUUCUCAGAGAUUACGCCGUAUCGGACUCCUGCGCACCAGUAACAGAAGCGCUUGAAACGAUAAACGGUAAUGGAUGCAAAGAAGUAUGCGAUACAACAGAAGCGAUACUAUCGAGAAGGCACAGGAAAGAGGGGAACACUGAAUCUACAUUAUUUAUAAUAUAUACUAACUCAUUGUACGUGACUGUCAAAGUGGCCAAUGAUGUAUGAUGCAAUGUAAAUGAUUCCUGUUUUCUGAUUUGCUGAUCAUAUACAAUUACUUUCCUUCGUCAGGUGUGGCAUGUAGAACAUGCUGUGAAUUCAUUUGCCCCCUAAUGUCAAGCAGUGAUACACAGACGGUAUUGGGCGGACGAGAAUAACAGCAAAUUUCAGUCGUUUGAGUGACAACGAAUAGAUCACCCAAAAAAAUAAGGCGUAGUCCGUAUUUCUCUCAGAGAAAGAAAAAAAGUUCGUUGCUGAUAACGUCGUUAUCAGCAACGACUUGAAACUACUUGCUGUUUCGCUCUCCGUUUUCCCCACGAUCAAUUCACAUUCUAAUUUACAUUAGAACAUUGAUCACCAUUCCAACAUUGCUGCAAUUCACAGUCGGCCGCACAUACACAUCUUAAUGGUCCUGCCUUGUCCUAAUGUCCGACAUGCAUGCGUUUCGAUUAUCAAAACUAAUCUCAUCACAGACUACUAUAAAUGAUAAUAUGGUAAGGCCAAUUCAACGAUGUUAAGGAAGCGGCUAUGAGGAGAAGGAGGAGGAAACAGAAAGUUGAGAGAAUAGCGAGCAACGCAUUACGUGUUGUGAUUUUAAAUUUUCGCGCUCGCUGCGUAUCACUUUAAUCAAUUGAGUGAGGUCAGACUGUUCGUAAUAGCUUACGGAUAGGUUACUAGAUAGAAAUGUGUAUUAAGUGGUAGAGGAUGGCAUUGGCGAAACACAAACACCGUGUGUCCUUUGACCUGCCCGUUUGAGUUUUUUCAAACAUCCAAGUAUCUGCCCGCUCCGAUAAGCAGAGAUCACAUAACAGUAGAGAAUAAGCAGACAAGUAACUUGCUAUAAGGCAAUUAGCAGUCAGAGAUCCGCCGCGAAGAGGCAAAAAGUAAAAUCCGAUAUAAUAGUUUACGCAGACAGUACUGAUAUAUCAUUUCCCUUAAGUCGGUAUCAUAACAACGUAAAUUCCACCACUGAUGGUUCAGAAAGAGUCAUAAUCGUGUGAGCAUUUCCACUCGUCUUUUCUAUAGUCUUACUGGUAGAGAAAAAGGUUAAAGUUAAAAAGGCUAAACUAAAAAAUUUGACCUGGCCGCAAAUCUCAGCAACAUUUGAAGUAAUCGCUAUUUAAUGCACGAAGGCGUGCUUGUUCUUCAUCAGAUAAAGAAACUUAAACGCUCGUAAUGUCGUGCUUCAUCUUCAUAAUCUUCGAAAUCAUCAGGCUAGUUCUAAAAAACUACUACUAAUAGACACAUGGACUGGGUCACCUGGGAGUUGUAUCUACCGUGAAGAACUAUAGGUAUUGAUGAGCACGGAUUGAUUAAUUCAGAAAUCAUCACCUUCAGAAAUAGUUAUUCAUAACAGCUCAAAUCAUCCUUCAUUGUCAGAGUGCAGUUACCUCUUUGAAGUUAUAAUUAAUUCGUAACAUAGAAUAGUGAAGACAUGGAGUUCGACGAGAUGCCGAAAGCGGUACGUGCUGUACAUACGUAGGGCGAAGAUAUUAGACAUAUAGCGUUUUGCAGCAUGAAAACAGAGCCGAAUUUGAAAAGGCUUACUCCUCUAUUAACUGUUAUGACUAGAUGACACAUUUGGUAAACUUCCUAGUAACAUGUGUAAGUCCGUUAAAGCUUGAUGGAGGAUUUGCAUCGAUAUUGACUAUAGCUCACUUCUAGCUUGGCAUUCAGCCACUGCUCGGGCAAGCGACGCUUUACGUGGUAGAUAGGAGUUAUGUCGACAAACGAGUCAAAGAUUUGUAAUCAACACCCACCCUCACAGCUGCCUUUAGAAAAGCCGGUACCUUAAGUGUUGGCAUCGUUCUGGACUUCAUUUAGCACUCAUUUGCUAGAAGGGAUCUGUUCGGAGGGGAAUUCGAUGGAAGGCGAGAAGGGAACCACAAAGCGGGGAAUAGCUCAAAGAUGGGAAAGCAUAAAGAGCUACAGGAGAACAGGAUGAAAAAGUCUAAAGGUGAGAUUGUCGCUCUACUAGAACCGAAAAAAACUCAGGACGCAACAUUCUAUCGAUAGCCGCACCGUUCAAUUACUGCAAGUACCUUAGUUAUUGCCAUAAGGAUACCGUGUGAAAACCAAAUAAUAAUAACAAUAGUAGUCCCGUCAAAGCAAUGUCGAAAAGAAAGUAGAUCGGAUCAUUAUAUGGUAGUGUAUGAAUCAGAGAGUUAACUCUAUAGUUGACACCGAAUAGAGAGUCCGUAGUAAAUUCAGCAAAUUAACAGACUCGAUGACACUUAUAAAUAAUGAGAGAUUAUAAUAAAGAGAUCACUGUCUAAAG